CACGGCAUACUGAAAAUCAGCUCUCUAAGCUGAGGAGAAGGGAGUGUGAUGUGUGGUCUACAUUUGGAUGGCAGUAAUCAUGUGUGAUAAGAACUACUGGACUUUCUGCCUGUAGGAAAAGCUGAGAGAAACAAGUUUAACAUCCGGUAUUGCAACGUUUUUGCAGAAUUUUUCCGUCUUGAGAUCCCUGGACCUGGAUAUCCACCAAGAUGCCUCAGAAUCUCCCCACCAGCCCUACUACCACCAGACCAACUAGUGCUAUGCUUAACCAUUGAUUUCAC